GUGGUGGCUUGUACUGGAUGCCCAGCGCCAUCUACAAAUCUGAAAAUGAAUAGAAGGUAUCAGUCCCACCUUUUCUAGCAGUCACUAGAGAGACUCCUGGGCAAUUUUUUGGAUUUCAUCUUAUUGCCUGAAGGAAAUUCUUGAAAGUCUGACAACAAUUCAUCAGAGAGGAAGCUGUGGGGGUUAAGACAAAGAACUAGAUCUCUUCGCCCAAAUUUCUGCCUACUGCCAAUAAGGGUCAUCAUGCUUCAUCACAGAGGUUGUUCAGGUCUCGGCUUUGAACGAGAUUUUCUGGACCCAGUUGACUCACCGGGCACAUUGAUUUUACUGAUUCCUGUGGAUGACUUGGAAGAUGAUGUGGAAGAAAUAAUCGAAAUAUAUGAAGAUUCGGGGAAUGAUAGUGGAGAGGUAGAGGAGGAGGAAGCUGAACAGGAAGGGGCUGUGGAGGAGGAGGAGGUGGAAGAGGUGGAGGAGGAAGAAAUAGAGCUGGAAAUAGGAAAAUAUAUUGAAGAGAAUGAGGAAUAGAAAUGAGAAAUUAA
rnacentral:sRNA from 1 species